UACGUAGGGGGCAAGCGUUGUCCGGAAUCAUUGGGCGUAAAGAGCGUGUAGGCGGCUCGGUAAGUCCGCUCUGAAAGCCCGGGGCUCAACCCCGGGAGGCGGGCGGAUACUGUCGGGCUAGAGUCCGGAAGAGGCGAGUGGAAUUCCUGGUGUAGCGGUGAAAAUGCGCAGAUAUCAGGAGGAACACCAAUGGCGAAGGCAGCUCGCUGGGACGGUACUGACGCUGAGACGCGAAAGCGUGGGGAGCAAACAGG
rnacentral:rRNA from 1 species